CGCUCGAUAGCUGAGCGAAGAUGUCGCCGCCGUUGGCGAAUUCAGCGCCAAGGGCGGCGACAAAUCCUAUCAUUGCUAGCCUGCCAUUAAUACGCUCUGGUGCUGGACCAGAGAAGGCGAAUAGGUCUCCGAAUUUGGUGCUGGUCUGUUCACAAAAUUGUAUGAGAAAUGUUAGAACAAUGAUCUUGCCUGUUGAAGUGAUAGAAGUACUAAUACAUAUCAAAACAAUAAUAUUAAAUAUUUAUGCUAAUAAAUAUCAAAAUACUAAAAAUUUCGCAGUUCAGUACUAGUUGUCUAUUUUUCACUUUCACUCCCUUCAAAAAAAGUAUGUAUUUUAUAAUUUUACUCACAAUAAUAUUAUAUAGCAUUUCCAAAAGUCAUCAAAAAUGAUUUAAAAAAUGAAUAAUUAGUUAUAAGGGUAAAACAGGAAGAAAAAAAUCGUCAUUCUCUUGAUUUAAUACAAUGACAAAUAAAAAUAAAAAUAUAUUUUUUAUAUAGUAGAUAAAUAAAAGUGAAAGGAGAAAGUAUUAAAUAUGCAUAUUAUUAUGUCACUUGAAAAACACCACUUGUACUUAUAAUAAGUAUCAUUAAUUAUACUAAUAAAAGGGCGAAGUAUAUACUUAAACAUACUAAUCAUUCUUUGUUUCUGCAUUUGCUAUGUUAGUGAAUAUUAUUUGUUUGAUCUAUUUCACGUAAACUGAAACAGAUAAAAUUAUAUUUAAGUAAAUAUAUCAGAUAAAAUUUUGUAGUUUUUGAAAAAGUUG
rnacentral:lncRNA from 1 species